UUAAUUGAAACCAAAAAGAGGUAUGUCACUGUUAAUGAUACCAAUGAGAAGUUCUCCAAUUAAA
rnacentral:tRNA from 1 species